UACGUAGGGGGCAAGCGUUGUCCGGAUUUAUUGGGCGUAAAGAGCGUGUAGGCGGCCAAAUAGGUCCACUGUGAAAACUCGAGGCUCAACCUCGAGAGGUCGGUGGAAACCGUCUGGCUAGAGUCCGGAAGAGGAGAGUGGAAUUCCCGGUGUAGCGGUGAAAUGCGCAGAUAUCGGGAAGAACACCCGUGGCGAAGGCGGCUCUCUGGGACGGUACUGACGCUGAGACGCGAAAGCGUGGGGAGCGAACAGG
rnacentral:rRNA from 1 species